rnacentral:tRNA from 1 species
GGCCCAGUGGCUCAGCUGGUUAGAGUGCUGGCCUGUCACGCCAGAGGUCGAGGGUUCGAUCCCCUUCUGGGUCG